AUUGAACGCUGGCGGCAGGCUUAACACAUGCAAGUCGAGCGAGCGGCGGACGGGUUACUAAUGUCUGGGAAACUGCCUGGUGGAGGGGGAUAACUACUGGGAAAGGUAACUAAUACCGCAUACCAUCACCUGUGCCCCGGUGGGAUUUGCUAGUAGGUGGGGUAAUGGCUCACCUAGGCGACGAUCCCUAGCUGGUCUGAGAGGAUGACCAGCCACACUGGAACUGAGACACGGUCCAGACUCCUACGGGAGGCAGCAGUGGGGAAUAGUGCACAAUGGGCGCAAGCCUGAUGCAGCCAUGCCGCGUGUGUGAAGAAGGCCUUCGGGUUGUAAAGCACUUUCAGCGAGGAGGCGUUACUCGCAGAAGAAGCACCGGCUAACUCCGUGCCAGCAGCCGCGGUAAUUC
rnacentral:rRNA from 1 species